UGGGGAAUAUUGCACAAUGGGCGCAAGCCUGAUGCAGCCAUGCCGCGUGUGUGAAGAAGGCCUUCGGGUUGUAAAGCACUUUCAGCGGGGAGGAAGGCGAUAAGGUUAAUAACCUCAUCGAUUGACGUUACCCGCAGAAGAAGCACCGGCUAACUCCGUGCCAGCAGCCGCGGUAAUACGGAGGGUGCAAGCGUUAAUCGGAAUUACUGGGCGUAAAGCGCACGCAGGCGGUCUGUCAAGUCGGAUGUGAAAUCCCCGGGCUCAACCUGGGAACUGCAUUCGAAACUGGCAGGCUAGAGUCUUGUAGAGGGGGGUAGAAUUCCAUGUGUAGCGGUGAAAUGCGUAGAGAUGUGGAGGAAUACCGGUGGCGAAGGCGGCCCCCUGGACAAAGACUGACGCUCAGGUGCGAAAGCGUGGGGAGCAAACAGG
rnacentral:rRNA from 1 species